AUGGAUUGUGGAGGGAAAAAAUGAAGGUGCGGGAAGGAAGGAAGAAGGGAGAGAGGGAGGGGAAAAGAAGAAGGAAGGAUGAACAAAAGUGCGCGCGGGGGAAGAUAUAUGUUUGCAGAUGAUAAUGAUAUUUAUGGGCACUCUGAUGAUGAAGAGAUAGAGGAACAUUUGGCCCGUCAACGUAUUUCAAAAUACCACGUCAAAUCGCACUCGAUACCUCUCACCAACACCUCCACCACUUUCCAAAGGCAAAUCAGCUUAUUAUCACAUGGUAGAGUCUUUAAAACAUGUUUAGGGCACAUCAAAUUACGUUUAUCAUCUUUUGCACAACAAAAAAUGUGACCUUUGGAAGAUAGCCCUCCUCUAAACU
rnacentral:lncRNA from 1 species